GCGUCGCUAUCGUCUAGUGGUUAGGACGUCACGUUGUGGCCGUCACAACCCCGGUUCAUAUUCCCGGACGGCGCA
rnacentral:tRNA from 1 species